GCCCUUCUAGUAUAUUAAUUACAAUUGACUUCCAAUCUUUUAAAUCUGGUCAAACCCCAGAGAAGAGCA
rnacentral:tRNA from 1 species